rnacentral:lncRNA from 1 species
CUGCAGGAGGCCAACGACUGCGAACUGCGUGGACCUGAGCUGGCAUUUGGCCAGGACAAUGGGAUUAACUUCCCAAGCGCUGGCCAAAAAGGGCCCUGGGAUUUUUAUUUUUAUUCGUUUUCCAUUACAACUGCACAGCAACGCAAACAAAGCCCCAAACAAGGAGGAAGAUUUGACUGUCAGGAGGAGCUGGUGACCUCAUUCUGUCAUUCUGUUCUUGGGGCCACUGAAGGGAGGAAGCUGGCUCUGCCGGGAGCAGGUGCUCACAAUCUACAUCUUUUGUGGGAACGUCCUCUUGAGUUUUUGGUUAUUUUUUUUUGUUUUGUUUUGUAGCCUUGGGGCCGCCUAUGAUCCUAGGAGUCUGUCAGUGCCUCGGUCUUCCAGGGUCACACGGUGUUCUAAGUCACAGGAAAGGGAGCUUGACCUGUGGUCCCAGUGAUGGAGAGAAUGAAUUAGGAGGAGACAAGGGAAGUUUUAGAAACCUCAGUCUCGCUUUCAGUCCAAGGAUUCCCCAACUGGUUGACCUCGGCUGGAGUUGACUCCCUGUCUGCUGGACACACGGGCAGGCAGGGACCUGUCAACAAACUGACCUGUCCUGAAUCAUCCUUGGGAAAAUGAGGUGUCACUGCAGAAGAGAUCCAUGACAAACCCAUUUUCCUCCCUGGCUCCCAAGGUUAAAACAAAGCAGCCUUCCAUUGUAGAGAUUGCCCCCCCCCUCUACUGUCUGAAAGCUGUGUCUCAUAGCUCAGGAUGACCUUGACCUUGAGCUUCUCCAGCCUGUACCUUCAGAUUGCUAGUGAUGGUUUUUGCCGCUGCACAUGUUCAGGUGGUGUUGGGGCUGGGGGUGGGGCAGUAGAGCCUAGCCCUGGGCCUGCCAGGCAAAGCACUCUAGCAUUUUGAGCUGCAUCCCCAGCCCUAGUUGGAGACUGUGGGGAUAAGGAAAGAUAACAGGAUGCCCUCAUGGUACAGUUCUCACACGCUGACUUGGUUCCCUUCUCUUGGUUUAUCCUAGUCACACACAAUUUUAAGCUUCAUCUCCACUUAAAAUUGUGUCUACCCAAGAAGUCCUCACAACCAAAGGAGAAGCAAAUGCUAACUAAAAUGACCCUCCUUUACUAUGACGUGGCUUGAGCAUGUCUUCGAGACAGGGUUUCUCUGUGCAGCACUGGCUGCCCUGGAAUUUCCUCCAUAGUCCAGGCUGGCUUUGAACUCUGAAAUGGACCUGCCUCUAUCGCCAAGUGCUGGGAUUAAAAGUGUGUCACUGACGCCUGGUUCCGAGUUUAUGGAAGGUUCUCCUCCUGCCCCCCUCUUCCCUUCCAAGACUUUCACAGCCCAUGUCAGUCUCAAACUGCUGCUCUGCUCUGCUGUGUGUGUGUGUAUGCGUGUGUGUGCUUUGUAGAUGAUUAGUGUUUAUAAUUACUUGAGUUUAAGGAGUUUAUAAACUGACAUCAAGUCAAAACUCCCUCGAGUGACUGGGUGCAGACUGGAGAGAGGGAGAGCCAGGCAGUGGUGACAAAGCUGCCCUGUGGCAAGUACUCGUGGAGAGAUGACUGCCUAAUAAACCUGUAAAGGCAAGUUCAGCUUCACCAGCGAUCAAGGAAAAUGCAAAUCACAUGGAGGGGGGAGAACUUCCACCGACCAAACUGGGAUUGCUUUCAAAAGAGGGCCAUCUCCUCCUCACAUCUGUGGGAGUGCCACGGUGGCUUUCUGGGAAGGCACUUGGUAAUAUGGAAAGAGGCUGUUAAAGGAACCAUUUGGUCAUUUCACUUAUAGGAAAAAGGUUCUGGGAGAAAAAAAAAUAGCAAGAGGUGCAAACCAUGGUGGUUUGAAGCUAAGCUGUUGGGGAAAAAUGCAUGCCCAAUAACAGGAGAAUUAUUCAUGAUAAACUCA